UUUGUUACUUAAAAACUGAUAACAUGGCAUCUCGGCUCUCUCUAAAUAAUUGUAUUAAAGCUUUUUUAUUUAGUUAAUUUGCCGUGUCACAAACGAGCAAUGACAGUACGACUGUACGAGUUUGACUGUACGAGUGUGAGUGCACGACAUGUCGAUAUACCACCGGGCACCGCGACUUACAAAGUUACAAACCUUAAAAUAUAUAGGAUGUAGGCACUCGUCCUAUGGAAAAUCUCCACUAAUCCACUAUCACUACGAUCUAAAAUCCAACUAAUUUAAGGAAUGACUACGAUGUAGUAAAAAAUUACAAAAAAUACUUUCCGGUACCGGGAAUCGAACCCGAGCCUCCUGGGUGAAAGCCAGGUAUCCUAGCCACUAGACCAUACCGGAGACGUGAGUCUAAUUUUUUAAAAAAAGUCGGAUAAAUUUGAUAAUGCAUCCAUAAAAAUAAAGGAGGUUUUAGAUGACCGUAAAAUUGAACCAGAAGUUGGGAUUGUUAGAAGCUGAAUAAUAAAACAAAUUUCUGUUCUACACACAUCAAACCCAACAUUUAUGAAGAUUCAAGAAAAAUAAUCAAUUUAAUUUUGAACAAAACAAUAAGAAGACUAUUAAAUAUUAUAUUAAACCAUGAUAUCCAAUAUUGGUUGAUGAAGUUGGUAAAAAAUACAGCAUGCAAAACAACAAUUCUACUCUGCUAACUGUGUUACAGAUGGUGGUGCUAAUAAAUAUGGAAAAUUCACAAAUUAUUAGUAUAUCAGAUGUGAUGAACAGUAUUCAUCACUUAGGCCAUGUUCUUAUGAAUGUUUCUAGAAAUAAUAAGUCAGAUAUACAGAAAGGGAUGGAUAUUAUUAAAGUUGAUGUCAAUAUAAAUCAAGAAACACUAAUGGAAACAGUAGAUACAAUUAGAAUUCAACAAUCAACAACCACAAGUUCAAAUGCAUAUGAUUUGUCAGUUGUCAUUACUCAAAGUGCCCAUUGAAAAUUUGGAGGAGUUGAAUAAACUCAAGGAGGAUGCGAAUAAAAAAAAAAUAUUAGUUGUGUCAUUAUUUAUUUAUUUAAGAAAAUGUAUGUUAAUGGGUGUCUACUUUUUUUGUAUAGGGUAAAUGUUACGUAGACACGAAAAUCAUUUAAUGCUAAAAGUGAUACGGACCUUAUGAUGAAGUUGACUGUAAAUAAUAGAAUAGCAGGAAAAAUCAAUAUGGAGGGAAGAAGAGGAGAUAAAUUGGCUUUUGGCCGUUUAGAAAUUUCUAAAAUUUUAAUUGAAGCCAUUCAAGACAUGUUUCCCGAUGAAUCCAUAUUAUCAAUUAAAAGUUAUAUCAGUGAUUGGCUUAAACAAGCCCCUAAAAUAAAAUUAGAUUUAUAUAUAAUUUUACAAUUAAGUUAUUUAAUAUAGUACAUUUGAUAUUGUAACAGUA